rnacentral:misc_RNA from 1 species
CAAACCGAAAUUGCCCGAUGCCCCGAAGGACACCGCAAAGCCGGUCGGCCCGAUCGUGGUUGCGAUCUCGAUCGAUCGGCAGACCUUGAAGCUCUACGACCAGAACGGCCUGUUCGCGGAAUCGCCGGUCUCCACCGGCAUGCGCGGCCAUUCGACUCCGAUGGGCGUGUUCAGCGUCAUCCAGAAGAACAAGUAUCAUCGCUCGAAUAUCUACAGCGGCGCGCCGAUNNNNNNNNNNAUCACCUGGUCAGGCAUCGCGAUGCACGCGGGCGUCCUCCCCGGCUAUCCGGCGUCGCACGGCUGCAUCCGCAUGCCGAUGAAUUUCGCGAUGCGGAUGUGGGGUUGGACCCGUAUGGGCGCGCGCGUGAUCAUCACGCCCGGCGAAGUCUCACCUGCUGAUUUUUCCCAUCCGCUGCUGAUCGCUCGCAAGCCGAGCACAAAACCCGUGGCGGCCACGCCGGAGCCGGAGAAGCACGCAGAGACCACGCCGAAAUCCGACCGGUCGUCGAUUGUCGACGCCGCGNNNNNNNNNNNNNGCGGCUGACCUCGAUCUCUGAAGACGCGCCAGUUCGUACUGCAGAUGCCAGCGGCGCACUCCCGCAAACGAGCGACGCGGACACCGUCGUUGCGCAGGCAUGGGAUGCCAGUCGCGGUGGUGGUUCAUGGGAUGCUGGCCGUGGCGGCGUCACGCCCGAACCCGAGGCGCCCAAGGAAGGCGCCAAGGAGAAUGCCAAAACUCCGUCUUCAAACUCACAGAAAGAUGGCGCCGCAGCCAAGGACGAUG